rnacentral:lncRNA from 1 species
UACUUCCCACCACUCUUUCCCAAAUGUUUAUUCUUCCAGACAGGGCCUUCCAGAAAAUCCUGGAAAAGGCGGAAAAACACAAAUAAAUAAAUGGAGGGAAACGGAUAAAUACUAACAUACAGAGGUUACUCGAACUGCCUGCCCUGGAGUUCUUGAGGAGAGCAUCCUCUUCAAAGCCAAGGGAGAAAAGAACCUCAAGAAAGAGAAACACCAGGGCUGGAGAGAUGGCUCAGUGGUUAAGAGCACUGUCUGCUCUUCCAGAGGUCCUGAGUUCGAUUCCCAGCAACCACAUGGUGGCUCACUAAAAAAUGAUACAUUGUACUGGAACUCAAUCUGUAGGUGGAAGCGUGGAUGGCAAUCAUUGCACACAAAUAAAGAGCAGGCUGGAAAGCCUUUAGCAGGUGAGGUGGCAGGAGCAGGG